AAAAACAUGUCCUAUAGUUAUUUAUGUUAGGUCUGACCUGCCCGAUGAUUAAUUAUUUAAUUGAAUGGCCGCGGUAUUUUGACUGCGCGAAGGUAGCGUAAUUAUUUGUCUUUUAAUUGAAGUCCAGUAUGAACGGUCGGACGAGGCAUAAGCUUUCUUUAACUUUUUUUUUGAAUUUAAUUUUUUAGUUAAAAAGCUAAAAUUUUUUUAGGGGACGAGAAGACCCUGUAGAUCUUUAUAAUAAGGCCAAUAUCAUCAAUUUGGUUUUGAUAAUGGAACUGUUUGUUAGUUUUAUUAUUUGACUGGGGCGAUUUUGGAAUUUAAGGAACUUUCAAUUUUAAAUACACUAAUAAGUGUGUAUUUUGAUCCAUUAUUAAUGAUUAAAAGAUUAAGUUACCUCAGGGAUAACAGCGUAAUCUUUUUUAAGAGAUCUUAUCGAAGAAAAGGAUUGCGACCUCGAUGUUGGAUUAAAAUAAGUGUUAGGCGUAGCCGUUUAAUAACUAGGUCUGUUCGACCUUUAAUUUUUUACAUGAUCU
rnacentral:rRNA from 1 species